rnacentral:snRNA from 1 species
GUGCUUGCUUUGGCAGCACAUAUACUAAAAUUAGAACGAUACAGAGAAGAUUAGCAUGGCCCUUGUGCAAGGAUGACAUGCAAAUUCGUGAAGCGUUCCAUGUUUUU